rnacentral:rRNA from 1 species
ACUCAAUAGAUACCCGGGUAGUCCUGGCCCUAAACGAUGUCUACUAGAUCGUGGCGGCACUGACGCCGUCAUGGUCGAAAGCAAAAGUGUUAAGUAGACCGCCUGGGAAGUACGGUCGCAAGGCUAAAAACUCAAAGAAAUUGACGGGGGCGUCACACAAGCGGUGGAGCAUGUGGUUCAAUUCGAAGCAACGCGAAGAACCUUACCUGGGCGUUGUACAUGCUAGGAUUAUCUUGAUGAAAGUACGAGUAGGCCCCGGCCAAGGGGUACGAACUAGUACAGGUGCUGCAUGGCUGUCGUCAGCUCGUGUCGUGAGAUGUCGGGUUAAGUCCCUUAACGAGCG